UCCCGAAUAGCUCAGUUGGUUAGAGCAUCUGACUGUUAAUCAGAGGGUCACAGGUUCAAGUCCUGUUUCGGGAGCCA
rnacentral:tRNA from 1 species